rnacentral:tRNA from 1 species
GUCGCUGUAGCUCAAUCGGUAGAGCGCCAGAAUGCCCCGCGACCGGCGGGGGUUUCACUGCCGGGCUGGAGAAUUCCGCUGAACAGUGUGCCGCAUUCUGCACAAUCCGGCGUCACGUAUUGCACUCAAGCGACAACGGGCGUCGCCUGGUGCUGGCCGGCUGAGAGAUGCGGGUUCGAGUCCCGCCAGCGCG